rnacentral:rRNA from 1 species
UACGAAGGGGGCUAGCGUUGUUCGGAUUUACUGGGCGCAAAGCGCACGUAGGCGGAUCUUUAAGUCAGAGGUGAAAUCCCAAGGCUCAACCUUGGAACUGCCUUUGAUACUGGGGAUCUUGAGUCCGGGAGAGGUGAGUGGAACUGCGAGUGUAGAGGUGAAAUUCGUAGAUAUUCGCAAGAACACCAGUGGCGAAGGCGGCUCACUGGCCCGGUACUGACGCUGAGGUGCGAAAGCGUGGGGAGCAAACAGG